ensembl:lncRNA
CACAACAUCACGUGCGUCGCACGCCAUGGCCGAACUUCCACUCCUGUUAGGAACCUCCCGUGUGGCAGGUUUUAGAUGCCACGGGUUAGGUUGGAGGCAGCAUCUGGAGUCCAGUUCCUCGGGUUCAAACCCCAGGUCCAGACUCAUCAUCCUCCACGGGCCUGCGCAUUUCAUACCCUCUGGGUGCCUCAGUUUCCCCAUCCUUAAACGAACCUGGCAUAGAGAAGCCCAAAAACCCUUGUGGCAUGAAACAGUGAAUGAGUGGCUGAUGUGCAGAGGGAAGGAGAGGGGCAGCUGAGAAGACAGAAGUCUGCAGUAGCAAGCUCAAGAGAGCUGGUCUCCCAGGGACCUCACAGCAUUGUGAGCACACAAGCUUGUACCGAGCAGCCUCAGCGAGGUAGGAGGAAGGAGAGAUGGUAAGGGCGGGGGGUCUUGUCCAAGCAAAGACCCUGAAGGACAGCACAGGGCCGAAGACAACUCCAGAGACUAUGAUUCUAUUGGAAACUGCUUUGUCCACUUGAGGCUGGUAUGGUUUGGCUCCCAAGCAGCACAUUGUGGAGACUCACCCUUAAUUCCCCCAAACAAGUGAAAGAACAGGU